AGCGAACGCUGGCGGCAGGCUUAACACAUGCAAGUCGAGCGGGCACUUUCGGGUGUCAGCGGCGGACGGGUGAGUAACGCGUGGUAACGUGCCCUCUGGUUCGGAAUAACUCAGGGAAACUUGAGCUAAUACCGGAUACGCCCUUUUGGGGAAAGGCUUGCUGCCGGAGGAUCGGCCCGCGUCUGAUUAGCUAGUUGGUGAGGUAACGGCUCACCAAGGCGACGAUCAGUAGCUGGUCUGAGAGGAUGAUCAGCGACACUGGUGCUGAGACACGGCCCAGACUCCUACGGGAGGGAGCAGUGGGGAAUAUUGGACAAGGGGCGCAAGCCUGAUCCAGCCAUGCCGGGUGAGUGAUGAAGGCCGUAGGGUUGUAAAGCUCUUUUAUCCGGGACGAUAAUGACGGUACCGGAGGAAUAAGCCCCGGCUAACUUCGUG
rnacentral:rRNA from 1 species